GCCGCAAUGGCCCAAUGGCAGAGGCAGCAGGCUUAAACCCUGUACGGUGUGGGUUCGAAUCCCACUUGCGGUA
rnacentral:tRNA from 1 species